rnacentral:rRNA from 1 species
CGGGGUGAGUAACGCGUGGAUAACCUGCCUCACACAGGGGGAUAACAGUUAGAAAUGACUGCUAAUACCGCAUAAGCGCGCAGUACCGCAUGGUACAGUGUGAAAAACUCCGGUGGUGUGAGAUGGAUCCGCGUCUGAUUAGGUAGUUGGUGGGGUAACGGCCCACCAAGCCGACGAUCAGUAGCCGACCUGAGAGGGUGACCGGCCACAUUGGGACUGAGACACGGCCCAA